CAAAACAGGAACCACAACUAAAUACCCCAGCUAACAAUGGGGGAGGAGAGUGGGGGCGGGUUAACCUCAGCUAAAGGAAGCCACUGUUAGCAUCGUUUCAACAACCUUGCAACACUCACUAGCGACUUAACGACUUUCUUUGGCUGUUGAGCAGUUGUAUUUAAUCUUAGUAGUGUUUAAUUUUCUUUGUUUUUCCUUCCGUGUGCAAAUGUUACGUCACUACCUAGUCAAAGUUAUUGUUGCAUCAAUCAAGAAUGCCCUACGGAUUGUAUGUACAAGUUAUAUUAUCAUGUUUAUAUUAUACAAACACAAAAUUGGAAGGGGCUAUAUUGUUAUAUUAUGGAAGGGUUAGUGAUUUACUCUCCCAUAUUGUAAUGAUUGAUAGGUAUACAGGUAAAUCCCCCCCCCCCUCCUCCUCCCUUUCCAUAAUAUUACAAAAUGGGAGAGAAAGGUUUACAAGGUUAACCAUAUUGUAAUUGAUUGGAUGGUAUAAGGGUAACCCGUCCAUAAUAGUACAAUAUGGGAAGGUGUAAGAUAUUCCUCUUCCAUAUCAUUACAAUGCGGAAGAGUAGAAGGAGAACUGUUAGAUUACAAUAGUUCUCCAUCCCAUAAACGAAACUUUUCCCAAACAUUCACAGAACACAAAUUAGAUCUUUAUUAAACGCGGAAAAGAAGCGCAUAUUCUUGGGCCUAAAUUCUGAAGCCAAUACAGAAGGAAAAUCUCAUUAAUAAAGAACAAACUACAAAUAUAUGUUAGCUUUGAGCAUAAGGUUGUCAUAGUAAUAAGUUAAUUUACUGAACUUAGCGUAAAUGUGUGCUAGAUAAUUGUGUGAAUGUGCUCAAAAUAGCGUAAUUUCCUCAAUAAUAUUUGCUAGAAAGAGUGAAAUUCCUAAAUAGAAUUAACUGGCUGAACAAGACAUAAAUUUUCCGAUCAUAGAUUAAUUUUAACCUGGAAUAAAUUCACUCAACAUAACAUUAAUUUCCUGAUCAAAGCAGAAAUUCGCUUUUCAUCGCAUAAUUAUGAUCUACUGAACACAGCAUAAAUUUCCAAAACAAAGAAUAAUUUUUUUUUUACAGAAUCACAACAUUAAUUUAUUCAACAUAACAUGAAAUCCAGCCAACAGAACAUAACUUUGGUGAACAUAGCGACAAUUUAGUGAAUAGAGUAACAGCUAAAUUCACUUAACAUAUCAUAAUACAAUAAUAAAUCUACAACCUACAGGCCGUUCCAAAAUCCUAUAACACUUUAGAGUUAAGGCUUAUACAUACUGAACACUGGUGACACUGUACAAUACAUUUAACAUAUACAACCUUUACGGGGGAGAGGGGGAUAUAUAUAUAUGUCUAUAUUUAACAAUAAAGGGCAAAGGAUAAGGUUGUUUGUGUUUUAGUUAAAGUUUCAUGGCAGAUAAUGGUAGACUAAACCUUUAUGGCACUCUAUUUUGUUUUGGUCAGCCACUGGCAAUCUCUCCCUCCUCCCCUCCCCAACCUGGCACUUUCCCAAGCCUGGCACUCUCCCCAGUUUGGCACUCUCCCCAGUCUGGCACUCUCCCCAGUCUGGCACUCUCCUCAGCCUGGCACUUGGGAAUGAGAGACCAACCAGGUGAUACUUGGACACUUGACCUGUUUCAUUAUGAAUUAUAACACACAACUUCAACGCCUCGAGGAUGUAUUGUGAGGCGUGAGUGAGUUAGGUUGAACACACACACACACACACACACACACACACACA